AAAAAUGAAAUCAUAUUGAUAUUUCAUUUACAAUGAAAAUUUUGUAAUUUACCAUUUUUU
rnacentral:tRNA from 1 species